CAGCCGCCGCGGGAAUACGUAGGUCCCGAGCGUUGUCCGGAUUUAUUGGGCGUAAAGCGAGCGCAGGCGGUUUGAUAAGUCUGAAGUUAAAGGCUGUGGCUUAACCAUAGUACGCUUUGGAAACUGUUUAACUUGAGUGCAAGAGGGGAGAGUGGAAUUCCAUGUGUAGCGGUGAAAUGCGUAGAUAUAUGGAGGAACACCGGUGGCGAAAGCGGCUCUCUGGCUUGUAACUGACGCUGAGGCUCGAAAGCGUGGAGAGCAAACAGGAUUAGAUACCCCGGUAGUCCCUGUCUCUUAUACA
rnacentral:rRNA from 1 species